UGGGGAGAGAACCCCCGGAAAGGAGGGCCCCCUCUUUUGUUUUGACACUGACUUUGAGGUGAAAAAGGGGGGGGACCAAACCGGGAUGAGAUCCCCCUGGUAUUUCACCCCGAAAACGAUGUCGAAUAGGUGUUGGGGUUUUUCGAUUUCUUAGUGGGGGAAGCUAACGCUUUUAAGUCUCCCCCCCUGGGGAGAUACGGCCGCAAGGUUAAAACUCAAAGAAAUUGAGCCGGGGCCAACCACAAGCGGGGGGAGCAUGUGGUUAAUUUAAGACCGGGAAGAACCCUACCUAUCUUUGACAUGCCUUUAACCUUCCAAAGAGGAUUUUCCCCUUGGGAACUCUGACACACAGGUGGCAUGGGUUUGUUUUCACUUGUGUGUUGAGAUGUUGGGUUAAAAUUCGUAACGAGCGCAACCCCCUUCAUUAGUUUCCAGCACAUUGGGUGGGCACUCUAAGGAGACUGCCGGUGACAAAACGGAGGAAGGUGGGGAUGACGUCAAGUCAUCAUGCCCCUUACGGCCAGGGUACACACGUGCUACAAUGGUCGGUACAAAGGGUUGCCAAGCCGCGAGGUGAAGCUAAUCCCAUAAAACCAAUCGUAGUCCGGAUCGCAGUCUGCAACUCGCCUGCGUGAAGUCGGAAUCGCUAGUAAUCGUGAAUCAGAAUGUCACGGUGAAUACGUUCCCGGGCCUUGUACACACCGCCUGUCACACCAUGGGA
rnacentral:rRNA from 1 species